AUUGAACGCUGGCGGCAUGCCAUACACAUGCAAGUCGAACGGCAGCACGGGUGCUUGCCCCUGGUGGCGAGUGGCGAACGGGUGAGUAAUACAUCGGAACAUGUCCUGUAGUGGGGGAUAGCCCGGCGAAAGCCGGAUUAAUACCGCAUACGAUCUACGGAUGAAAGCGGGGGACCUUCGGGCCUCGCGCUAUAGGGUUGGCCGAUGGCUGAUUAGCUAGUUGGUGGGGUAAAGGCCUACCAAGGCGACGAUCAGUAGCUGGUCUGAGAGGACGACCAGCCACACUGGGACUGAGACACGGCCCAGACUCCUACGGGAGGCAGCAGUGGGGAAUUUUGGACAAUGGGCGAAAGCCUGAUCCAGCAAUGCCGCGUGUGUGAAGAAGGCCUUCGGGUUGUAAAGCACUUUUGUCCGGAAAGAAAUCCUUGGCCCUAAUACGGUCGGGGGAUGACGGUACCGGAAGAAUAAGCACCGGCUAACUACGUG
rnacentral:rRNA from 1 species